GCGGGACUGCCCGGCACGAGCCGUUUGAAUAUCCCUGAGGCUAUAAGCAAUCCUUGGGAGCUGUCCCUGCUCCGGCUUGCGGGUUCGUCCCGGAACCGGGGUACACGGUGCCCACCUGACGUUGAGGCGUCAGAGGAUUUCUCAGGCAACCGACCCAUGGUGGUUCCGCU
rnacentral:other from 1 species